rnacentral:miRNA from 1 species
UAAAAACUGCAAUUACUUUUA